CUCAAAACGACGAAAGCCCUACCUCUCUUCCAUCCUUGCGGCUCCGAAGACCGCGCCAGUGUGAAUUGCGUUAACAAAAAUAA
rnacentral:sRNA from 1 species